GUGCCAGCCGCCGCGGUAAUACGGAGGGUGCAAGCGUUAUUCGGAAUUAUUGGGCGUAAAGGGCGCGUAGGCGGUCUCCUAAGUCAGAUGUGAAAGCCCGGGGCUUAACCCCGGAAGUGCAUUUGAAACUAAGGGACUUGAGUAUGGGAGAGGGAAGUGGAAUUCCUGGUGUAGCCGGUGAAAUGCCGUAGAUAUCAGGAGGAACACCGGUGGCGAAGCCGACUUCCUGGACCAAUACUGACGCUAAGGCGCGAAGGCGUGGGGAGCAAACAGGAUUAGAUACCCCUGGUAGUCCGCGCCAGUAAACGGUGAACACUAGGUGUAGCGGGUUAUUGACC
rnacentral:rRNA from 1 species